UACAGAGGGGGCAAGCGUUAUUCGGAAUUAUUGGGUUUAAAGGGUGCGUAGGCGGGCAGAUAAGUCAGUGGUGAAAUCUCCGAGCUUCACUCGGAAACUGCCGUUGAUACUAUUUGUCUUGAAUACUGUGGAGGUAAGCGGAAUAUGUCAUGUAGCGGUGAAAUGCUUAGAUAUGACAUAGAACACCAAUUGCGAAGGCAGCUUACUACACAGCGAUUGACGCUGAGGCACGAAAGCGUGGGGAUCAAACAGG
rnacentral:rRNA from 1 species